UAUAGUUAUAUAUGAGCUGCCGUGAUUGAAAACUUGAGCUACCUUUCUGGGGCAAAAUUGCUUGCAACUGGAUUUAAGGAAGAAGUUGGCAGAUAGUGAGUCAUUUACAAGGAUUUUUGUUGUUGCCCUUUGUACAUAUUUACAUGUUGUGUUCCUGAAAGUUUGAACAGAGAAAGUUAUGCUUUCUCCCUUCCUUAAUUGAGUUACUAAAGAAAAUAAAAUGCAUAUCCCAAGGAAUAUAUGGGCUUGUAGGUUUGGCUAGAAACUUGGAGAGACAGAAGAAGGCAGGGGGGAGAAAUGUCUUUAGGAAAAACACUAAUGGAAGAAGACGAUUCUGGAGAAUUUCAUCCCCAAUACUAACAUUUUACAGACGAGGGACAGCAAUUAGUGACUCACUUUUUCAAGGCUUGAAAGUUUUGUUUUCUUUUUAAAAGGGAUCUGUGAGGUUCUAGAGAAGGGGACAUGUGCUAGACACCGGAAGUACCAGGUAACUUCCUUCCUUCCCGAUCCGCCAUUGUUCUCCCGAUCACCUUGAAUCUGCUUUUCGGAGGGGUUUCCCUGGUUCACUCUCUUAUUCUUUCUCAGUCCUGAGGUUCUUUUCCCUCCAAAUAGAGGAGCCCGAGAAUCGUGACAUCUGUGCUCCUGACAACCAAGCCCCAGGAAUUUGGUAAGACUCUUUUUCUUCUGUGGAAGAGAAAUGAAGAGAGAGAGGAUUUGCAGGACAAGCCUGCAUGCAGACCAAGAUUCCAAGCAUGGCCAAUCUUCUCCAACUUCCAAUGUUUUCCACUUUAGGUUUAUUAUUAUUAGGAUUAACUGGAAUAUAUGGUCAACUGACUUGAAAGGGUCAAUAAUCGAUAUACCAUUUUGGCAAGAAGGCAAUGAGAAGGGAAAAAAAAUUCCUUCUUCAACGGUUACAAAAGGGAAUAUAGAUCAAGAGAGAAUGAAAAGGAAGUAAUCUUCAAAAUAUAUUUUUGUUACUGGACAAAUGAGGAAGAAAAAGAGAAGUAUUGCAUUGAUAGCAACAGAGACCCUUGACAUCAUAAUAUAGUUGAAAGAAUAAAGUAGAUUAUAAGAUUAAUAAACA
rnacentral:lncRNA from 1 species